CUUCACCGAUCCGAGCCACAGCGGACGCUCGCACUCCUGGCCGUACGUCGCCAGCAGCGCCUGCGCCUC
rnacentral:antisense_RNA from 1 species